CAUGAUACAAGAGACCAUUAAAAGUCUCAAAAGAGAGUUAGAAGAUAAAUGGGGAAAGGAAAGAGUAGCCUUACAAGAGAGCAACAACUUCCUGAAAUACGAAUUGGAAAAGUAAAAAUCUCAGGAAAGUAAGAAUUGUGAAUUGGAAAAAAUAAAGAAUUCACUAGAAAGUAGGAUUUGUGAAUUGGAAAAGACAAAGAACUCGAAAGAAAGUAGGAUCCGUGAAUUGGAAAAGACAAAGAACACGCAAGAAAGUAGGAUCUGUGAAUUGGAAAAAGAAAAUAAUUCACUAAAAAAAAAAAAAAAAAAAAAAUUAGUGAAAUGGAAAAAAAUUCCACAGACCAAAACAAUACAUUCAAAAACUCAAUUGGACAUAUACAGAAAGAAGUAAAAAAAGCUAAUGAAGAAAAUAAUUUUUUAAAAAUUAGAACUGAACAAAUAGAAACUAAUGAUUCAUUGAGACAGCAAGAAUCAGUCAAGCAAAAACAAAAAAUUGACAAACUGGAAAAAACCAUGAAUUAUCUAUUUGCAAAAACGACAGACUUGGAAAAUAGAUCUAGGAGAGAGAAUCUGAGGAUUAUUGGACUUUCUGAAAACUAUGAUGAAAAAAAGAGCCUAGAUACUAUUUUACAAGAAAUCAUCAAAGAGAACUGCCCAGAUGUAAUAGAAUCAGAAGGUAAAAUAGGCAUUGAAAGAAUUCAUCGAACACCUUCGGAAAGAAACCCUAAAAUAAAAACCCCAAGGAAUAUUGUGGCAAAAUUUCAGAACUAUCAGAUUAAGGAAAAAUUUUACAAGCAGCCAAAAAAAAAACCAUUUAAAUACCGAGGUGCCACAAUAAGAAUCACCCAAGAUCUGGCUGCCUCUACAUUAAAGGAAAGAAGGGCCUGGAAUAUGAUAUUCUGAAAGGCACAAGAACUUGAGAUGCAGCCAAGAAAUUGAUCUAAUUAAAAGAGAUAAGGAAGGAAACUACAUCCUGCUAAAGGGUAGCAUAAACAACGAAGCAAUAUCAAUAUUAAACAUAUAUGCACCAAGUGGAAUGGCACUCAGCUUCCUAAAGGAGAACUACAUUCAACAUAAAGUUAGGGGGAAAUAGACCAAAAAGUAAUUGGAAACUAAACAAUCUCAUCUUAAAGAAUGAUUGGGUGAAGCAGCAAAUUAUAGAUACAAAUAAUAAUUUCACUCAAGAUAAUGUCAAUGAUGAGACAUCAUACCAAAAUUUGUGGGAUGCAGCCAAAGCGGUAAUAAUAGGAAUUUUAUAUCCUUAGAGGCUUACUUGAAUAAAACAGAGAAAUAAAAGAUUAAUGAAUUGGGCUUGCAACUAAAAAAACUAAAAAAAGAACAAAUUGAAAACCCCAAUCAAAUACUAAAUUGAAAUUUAAAAUUAAAAGGAGAAAUUAAAAAUAUUGAAAGUAAAAACUAUUGAACUAAUUAAUAAAACUAAGAGUUGGUUCUAUGAAAAAGCCAAUAAAAUAGAUAAGCCUUUGGUAAAUCUGAUUAGAAAAAGGAGAGAGGAAAAUGAAAUUAGUAGUCUUAAAAAUAAAAAGGGAGAACUUUCCACCAAUGAAGAGGAAAUUAGAGAAAUAAUAAGGAGUUAUUUUGCUCAACUUUAUGCCACUAAAUUUGAUAACCUAAGUGAAAUGGAUGACUACCUCCAAAAAUAUAGACGUCCCAGACUAACAGAGGAGGAAGUAAAUUGCUUGAAUAGUCCCAUUUCAUAAAAGAAAUAGAACAGGCAAUUAAACAACUCCCUAAGAAAAAAUCCCCAGGACCAGAUGGAUUUACAUGUGAAUUUUACCAAACAUUUAAAGAACAAUUGGCCCCAAUGCUAUAUAAAUUAUUUGAUAAAAUAGGGAAGGAAGGAGUCCUACCAAAUUUCUUCUAUGACACAGACAUGGUACUGAUACCUAAACCAGGUAGGCUGAAAACAGAGAAAGAAAAUUAUAGACCAAUCUCCCUAAUGAAUAUUGAUGCUAAAAUCUUAAAUAAGAUAUUAGCAAAAAGACUACAGAAAAUCAUCUCCAAGAUAAUACACUAUGAUCAAGUAGGAUUUAGACCAGGAAUGCAGGGCUGGUUCAAUAUUAGGAAAACUAUCAAUAUAAUUGGCCAUGUUAAUAACCAAAUUAACAAAAACCAUAUGAUCAUCUCAAAAGAUGCAGAAAAAGCAUUUGAUAAAAUCCAACAUCAAUUCCUAUUAAAAACAUUUGAGAGUAUAGGAAUAAAUGCACUUUUCCUUAAAAUAAUCAGCAGCAUCUAUUUAAAACCAUCAGUAAGCAUCAUAUGUAAUGGAGACAAACUGUAACCAUUCCCAAUAAGAUCUGAGGAAACAAGGUUGCCCACUAUCACCGUUAACUAUUUAAUAUUGUAUUAGAAACGCUAGCUAUAGCAAUAAGAGCUGAGAAAGAGAUUAAAGGAAUAAGAAUAGGCAAUGAGGAAGCCAAAUUAUCACUCUUUGCCGAUGACAUGAUGGUAUACUUAGAGAACCCCAGAGAUUCUGCCAAAAACUUAUUAGAAAU
ensembl:lncRNA